GUUUCCAUAGUGUAAUGGUCAACACGUUUGCCUAACACGCGAAAGGUUCCCCGGUUCGAAACCGGGUGGAAACA